UAUGGCGCACUGAGAUGAAGUGACCGAACCGAGAUGAUGCAGCUCCGAAGUUUCGUCGUCAACUUACCAAAGUCGUUCUCUGAAUCCGAUUGAGUGCAUACAUGCAUCCUGUUUCCCAUUUUCUUAUUCUCCAGUUAGAAGGGUUACAAAGCCAAAACGCCAAAACCCCUCUUAAUCAGACCUCUUUCCAUAAAGAAACAAACAAUCAGAAGAGGGAGAAGCAAGAAGAUCAGCCAAACACGUCAUCUCCCUUCAGCUUAAGUUUCAGCUUCAUCUGGUAGACUUCAGAUUAAUAAAUAUUUUAUAUAUGAGAUAUAUACGCUAUGGAGUUCUUUAACAAAGCCCAGGCCGUUAGACUCCGAAGCCACCUCGGGAAGUAUCUAUUCGCCGACGACGAUGAAGAAACAGUUCGACAAAGCCGUAACGGCUCCACUCGCAGAGCAAGGUGGAUGGUGGAGAUAGUCCAAGGGAACAAACAGCUGGUGCGCGUCAAGAGUUUCUUCGGCCGAUAUCUGACCGUCUCCGACGUGCCAUUCCUCCUAGGAAUAACCGGGAAGAGAGUAUUACAGACCGUGCCGGGAACAACACCGGAGGCGGCAAUCGAGUGGGAGCCUAUCAGGGACGGGUUUCAGGUGAAGCUCAGAAACCGUGGCGGGAAAUACUUGCGCGCAAACGGAGGUACUCCGCCAUGGAGGAACUCGGUGACUUGUGACGUCCCUUGUAGUACUGCUACACAGGAUUGGGUGUUGUGGGACGUUGAGGUGGUUGAAGUACCAGAGUACGAAGCUCGGUCAUUCUCCGACUAUCGGUCCCAGUUAUCAAGUUUUUCUUCUCUGUCUCUAUCGGAGGAUUUGGUGGAUUCCGAACCAGAUUCACCGUGGUCGACGUCCUCAGGAGCUCUGACCCCUAAAUUAACCAGCUCGUGGUCGACGGUUUCGGCCGCUAUUUCUCUCUCUUCAAAGAAGAGUGGAGGAAUGGAAUUCUUCCAUAGAGCGAAGACCGUCCGCCUUCUGAGUCACCACGAGAAGUACCUUCUCGCCGAUGAAGACGAGGAGUCGGUGUGCCAAGACCGCAAUGGUUCGUGUCGGAACGCCAAGUGGGCCGUCGAGUUUGUCGAUGUGGGGAACUAUGUCCGUCUCAAGAGCUGCUACGGUAAAUAUCUUACCGCCACUAACGAUCACGUCCUUCUUGGGGUGACCGGAAAGAAGGUUCUUCAGACUGCACCUAGGAGACUGGAUUCCUCAGUCGAGUGGGAACCCAUCAGGGAAGGCUUUCAGGUCAAGCUCAAGACUCGGUACGGCAACUUCCUGCGCGCCAAUGGUGGUCUGCCGCCUUGGAGGAAUUCCGUCACUCAUGAUAUCCCUCAUACAUCAUCACAUCAAGAUUGGGUGUUGUGGGAAGUUGAUAUUAUCGAGAUACAAGAACCGCCCUUUCAUCCGCCUCGAGACGAUUCGGAUUCCGAACCUCUUUCGCCUUCCUCUAUCCUCAUCAAAUCUAACAAAUUAACAAAACUAGAGUCGAGUGAUUGCUUUGACACUUCACCCAAACCUGAUGGUCGGGUAAUCUACUUCCAUGUGAUGGACGAGAAAGGAAACGUUGACAAUAGAACUGAGGGUGCUUCCUUCAUUUUCAAGGGCACUGGGGUACAUGAGUUGACUAGCAAGUUGGAGGAAGAGACAGGACUCCAGGAUAUCAUUGUCUGCUCUCGUAAUCGGUUCAAUGGAAAACUUUAUCCCCUACGCUUGCAUCUUCCCCCCAACAAUGCAACUAUGCAUAUCGUUGUGGUUCCAUCCACAUUAAAGGGAACAACAGAUUAGGGGCAGGAAAUCCAAAAUGAGCUGCGCUGGACAUUGCCUCCCCAUGCACAAACAAAUGUGUGCACAUGUUCUAUACAUCUUGCUUCAGGAUAUCUGGCAAUGUGGAUCUGUUUACCAAGGAACAUGAAGAAAGCCCACAGUACCACCAUUAAGUAAUAUUUCAGAGAUUGAAACGAGAGCACAAGGAAACCACUUUCUUUUUCUCUUGCCCGAUUUACCAUAUAUGAUGAAUGUAAUAACUGUACGGUACAGAAUUGAGAAAGGGUUGUAUAUUCUCUAUGCAUUAGUGACAGGACUCCUCCAACUUUGGAAACAAACUCCAUCUCUGAAAAAUCUAGUCCAA